rnacentral:rRNA from 1 species
UACGAAGGGGGCUAGCGUUGUUCGGAAUUACUGGGCGUAAAGGGCGCGUAGGCGGUGUGUCAAGUCCCGUGUGAAAGCCCCCGGCUCAACCGGGGAACUGCACGGGAAACUAGCAGGCUUGAGUUCGGGAGAGGGAAGCGGAAUUUCGGGUGUAGCGGUGAAAUGCGCAGAUAUCAGGAGGAACACCUAUUGCGAAGGCAGCUCGCUGGGACGUAACUGACGCUGAGACGCGAAAGCGUGGGGAGCAAACAGG